UGGGGAAUAUUGCGCAAUGGGCGAAAGCCUGACGCAGCGACGCCGCGUGAAGGAUGAAGGUUUUCGGAUCGUAAACCUCUGUCAGAAGGGAAGAAACCGCACUGUGCUAAUCAGCAGUGCCUUGACGGUAGCUUCAAAGGAAGCACCGGCUAACUCCGUGCCAGCAGCCGCGGUAAUACGGAGGGUGCAAGCGUUAAUCGGAAUUACUGGGCGUAAAGCGCACGUAGGCUGCUUUGUAAGUCAGGGGUGAAAUCCCACGGCUCAACCGUGGAACUGCCUUUGAUACUGCUUAGCUUGAAUCCGGGAGAGGGUGGCGGAAUUCCAGGUGUAGGAGUGAAAUCCGUAGAUAUCUGGAGGAACAUCAGUGGCGAAGGCGGCCACCUGGACCGGUAUUGACGCUGAGGUGCGAAAGCGUGGGGAGCAAACAGG
rnacentral:rRNA from 1 species